rfam:Triticum aestivum genome assembly, contig: Triticum_aestivum_CS42_TGACv1_scaffold_556045_7AL
UAUAUACUCCCUCCGUCCGUAAAUACUUGUCAUCAAAAUGGAUAAAAAGGGAUGUAUCAAGACGUAUAGAUACAUCCCUUUUUAUCCAUUUUGAUGACAAGUAUUUUCAGACGGAGGGAGUACUUG